rnacentral:rRNA from 1 species
UACGGAGGGUGCAAGCGUUAUCCGGAUUUAUUGGGUUUAAAGGGUCCGUAGGUGGGUUUGUAAGUCAGUGGUGAAAGCCUAUCGCUUAACGAUAGAACUGCCAUUGAUACUGCAAGUCUUGAGUGAAUUUGAAGUAGCUAGAAUAUGUAGUGUAGCGGUGAAAUGCAUAGAUAUUACAUAGAAUACCGAUUGCGAAGGCAGGUUACUAAAAUUAUACUGACACUGAUGGACGAAAGCGUGGGGAGCGAACAGG